CGAUAUUUCAUUUUCCUUUCCCUCUCACGUGCGCAACGCCACCUUCUUUUUCUUCUUCGCGCCGUCGUGUUCUCCGUUUCAGCAGCUGAGUGUGCCCGCCUCAUCUCUCCCGUCCAGCGCUACCGCCGCCGUCUUCUUUCUUCCGCUCGUGCCGCCGUCGUAUUUAUUCUGUUCGUGCCGCCGCGGCCUCCGUCCAACGGUCGAAUGGCGGGUUCGACUGAAGGGUUGGGUUCUGCUUCUGCAACUGUGGAUGCAGUAGCCGAUUCUGCUCCAGGUUCUGAAGAAACUAUUAGCAAGAAUGCACGCAAGAAGGAAUUAAAGCUGAAGCAGAAGGAAGAGGAAAGGAGGCGUAAGGAGGAACUCAAGGAGAAAGCAAAACAGGAAGCAUCGCAGAGUAAGAAAUCUGUAGCAGUUGAUGAUGAAGAAAUGGAUCCCACGCAAUAUUUUGAAAAUAGGCUGAAAUAUCUUGCAUCUCAGAAGGCAGAUGGUAAAAAUCCAUAUCCUCACAAGUUUCAGGUUUCGAUGUCUCUCCUCGAGUAUAUUGAGAAAUAUGGAAUUUUAAACAAUGGUGAUCACCUUGAGGAAGUCUCGGAAUCUCUUGCUGGGAGGAUAAUGAGCAAACGAUCCUCCUCCUCGAAGUUGUUAUUUUAUGAUCUUCAUGGUUCUGGAGCUAAAAUCCAGGUUAUGACUGAUGCACGUGUCUCAGAGCUCGAUGAAGCUGAAUUUGCAAUGUUUCAUGCCAGUGUGAAGCGUGGGGAUAUUGUUGGUGUCACUGGGUUUCCAGGAAAAACAAAAAGGGGAGAACUCAGUAUUUUUCCAAAAUCAUUCAUUGUCCUAUCUCACUGUCUGCAUAUGAUGCCAAAGCAGAAGGCGGCUUCUGGUUCUGAGAAUGCAAAUUUGAAGAAAAAUGACGCAUGGGCCCCAGGUUGUACCAGGAAUCCUGAAACCUAUAUUUUAAAGGAUCAGGAAACUCGUUAUCGUCAACGAUAUCUGGAUUUGAUGUUAAAUUUGGAAGUGAGGCAAAUAUUCAAAACCAGAGCUAAAGUAAUCCAAUAUGUUAGGAAGUUUCUUGACGAUCUUGACUUCUUGGAGGUUGAGACACCAAUGAUGAACAUGAUUGCUGGAGGAGCAGCUGCCCGUCCAUUUGUGACCUUCCACAAUGAUCUCAACAUGAAAUUGUUUAUGCGUAUUGCACCUGAACUUUAUCUUAAGCAGUUAGUUGUUGGUGGAUUGGACCGUGUAUAUGAGAUAGGGAAACAAUUUAGAAACGAGGGUAUCGAUUUGACUCAUAAUCCUGAGUUCACCACCUGCGAGUUCUACAUGGCAUUUGCAGACUACUAUGAUUUGAUGGAACUCACUGAGAAAAUGCUAAGUGGAAUGGUGAAGGAGCUUACAGGUGGCUAUAAAGUAAAAUAUCAUUCAAAUGGGCUUGACAAUGAAUCGAUUGAGAUUGACUUCACUCCCCCUUUCAGGAGGAUUGACAUGAUAGAGGAAUUAGAAAAAAUGGCAAAUCUUAAUAUACCCAAGAACUUGGCCAGUGAUGAAGCUAAUAAAUAUCUAAGAGAGGCAUGCCUGAAGUUUGAAAUCAAAUGUCCUCCACCUGAAACAACUGCUCGCUUGCUGGAUAAACUUGUGGGACAUUUCCUAGAAGAAACGUGCGUGAAUCCUGCUUUCAUCAUCAAUCAUCCCGAGAUUAUGAGUCCUUUGGCAAAGUGGCAUAGAGCAAGACCUAGUCUAACUGAACGCUUUGAAUUGUUCAUCAACAAACAUGAAGUAUGUAAUGCGUACACUGAAUUGAAUGAUCCUGUUGUACAACGCCAGCGGUUUGCUGAACAACUCAAGGAUCGACAGUCGGGUGAUGAUGAAGCAAUGGCUUUGGAUGAAACAUUUUGUACGUCUCUUGAUUAUGGAUUGCCUCCUACUGGUGGCUGGGGAAUGGGCAUUGACCGGCUAGCUAUGUUGUUAACGGAUUCGCAGAACAUCAAGGAGGUUCUUCUCUUCCCAGCCAUGAAGCCUCAAGAUGAACCACCAGCUCCCAAAGCAUCUGCAGGAGUAUAGGGAUUACAACAUGAGGGAAAACCAAGAGAAUUCUCUUUAACUCAUGGUGGAAGGCUCUGAACUGAACAUUAUCUCCAAGAUCUUCUCAACAUGCAUGCACAGUAAUAACUCAUGUAUGGACAGAAUUCACCCUGAUAAGGCCGAGUGGUUUUUCUAUUUAGAAGUGGUCAUAAAAAUUUAAUGAACACCAGAUAUUAACCAUGUAAAUUAGUCCAGUUCAGUCAUUCUACAACACUGAAAAUCUCCAAGUUCUCUAGUUCAAUAUUUCACAAGAAUGGAAAGAAUUAAGGGUUCUAAAAAAAUGGUUGACUUGGAACAAACUGAAUCGACUGGGUUGGUCCGGUUAUUCCCGAAACAUUGACCAUCUCGGUUUGUUUCUUUAUUGAGAAAUAACACGUGUGGAAUAUCUUACUCAUGGUGUUGCAACAUAAACUUAACUGUGGGUGUAAUUCGAUAUACUUUUCCAAAGUUUUAGAGUUAAAUCGAUGAAAUAGUAAGUUCAUCGAUUCUUUCUCAGGAAACAAAAUGAAUGGAGUAGGUGGAAUAAUGCCCACUUCUUUCUUCCCCUGAUUAGACAUCUCAGCAUCUCCCUCUUAAGAAACUUCGUCGCUUUUUCAAAGGCUAUUGUAGUUUGUCUUGGUCCCUCAUCCCUCAUUUUACCCUCUCAUUUCGGCCCUCGGAGUACAGGUCGAGUUUUGAUCAUGGCCCAAGCUAGUAUGCCCAAGAUAUUAUUUGGGCUUAGGUCAAGGCCAUUGGAUCAAAGUUUGGAUCAUCAAGCUCAUGCAAGUUUUGAGUUGGCCCAGACUAGUCCAUCAAAUAUGGUGUAAAUAGCAAUACAAAUUCCAUUCUAAAAAAAUGGUCAAGAAAAAAUCUGAAAUUUAGCCACUAUGAAAUUAGGAGUGGCUUUGCCUAUAAUUUUUCCAUGUUUACCCCUCUGAAAUCCUCAACCACACCCUAAAUUUCAACCCUCGAAUCUUGUUCACAUAUUUUGAAUUUAUCUUUUUUUCAUUUCAAUUCUCUUUUGUGAUCUUAUCUCACUUCCAGAUGCAUCUUUUUUGUGAUCUUAUCUCAUUUCAAAUAUAGCCAGGACUCACAUUUGAAGAAGUUAACAUACAACUUAUUGUCUCUUAGAGUUGUCAACAACCCUCUUAAGAAUACUCCUCAUGUUCCCCUUUGGACUUUGAGUAAACUAAAAUAUCGUCGAUGAACACAAUUGUAAACGGUUUUAGAACUCUUUGAGCACUUUACUCGAGCAUUAGUCUGUCCAAAAAAUGUUACUCUAAACUCGUAAUGCCCAUACCUGAUUUAAAAAUUUGUUUAAGGAACGUUGCGCUCCCUUGUCAUCAAUUAAUGAUAGUCUAAUCGAAGGUUGAUCUUAGAGAACAUAACUUCCUCAUCAAACAAGUCAUCAAUUUGCAACAAAGAGUAUUUGUUUUCUGUAGUCACUGUAUUUUGUUUCUGGUAGUCUAUGCACAGGCAGAUAGACUCCUCAUUCUUCUUUACAAAUAGAACACUUGGGCGUAUGAAGCCCUUAUGUAAGAGUUUUUGAAUAUGCAAUUUCAACUCUUUGAGUUCUAUUGAGACCACUUGUAUAGAUCCCUAAAGAUAGGUUGUCCCUAGCUCAAGCUUAGUGUUAAACUUGACAUAUCGCUCUCUAAGGAUCACCUCCAUUCACAAACUCCCUCAAAUCUUCUUGUGCUCUAUCAUUGAUCAAACUUUGCCAACUAAAGGACAAUGACAUUGCUCUUAGGCAUAUGUGCUACUACAAACCCUCGAAUGUCAGCUUUCAAGCCCAUAACAAAUUGUUUGACUUUCUUUGCCACUGUAUCUACUAGUUCUAUGCUAAAAUGAGGCAAACUCUCUCGUACUCAUUGACAAUCCUGUUCUCCUGUUGGAGUUGCAGAAUUGGUGUAAUAUAUUCUUGAGAAAUGUUUUCUUAUACUAUGUCCAAGUGAUUGACCCGUUAUUGACAUUAAUAGACCUUGAGCAAAACUGCCACCAAAGUCGUUCAUCCUCACGUAACAUAAAGGCUGCACAUCCUACUUGGUGAUCCUUUACAGCGGAAUUUUUUCUAUAUCGCAAACAACCAUAAUUAAACUACUACCGAGUCUCGAGAUAACCCUCCAAACAGUUUGAGGUCACACCCCUUAAAGUAUCUCAGAUACCUCCCCUCCUAAGUUGUGCCCCUGUAUCUUGGGUUAACUAGGCUACCAGCCCAACAAUAGCUACAUGCACUAGAAAUUGCAAAGCUCCUAUAAUCGUCGACAUCCUCGAGAUGUCUGGGUUCAUGUUGGCAGGCUGCUCCUAAGAUGGAGCCCCAACUGCUGGGUUUGGAUUCAGGCUAGCAGGUUGAUCCUGGGAUGGAGCCUCGACUGUUGGGUUUGUCCUAGCCCUUGGAGGCCUACCUCGCUUCCCCUGCCUUCCUCUCCCUCGACUGCGUGGUCGCAUGCUGAUUUCUACAAGUUUUUAGCCUCAUUCAGAUGGCUUGACUCUAAGGUUAGUACGCAAGGCCCAAGUUAGCAUGAAUAAUAAGAGUGAUAGUUGAAGCAAGCUUAUGGACAUCAAAUAUCUAGCCAUA